rnacentral:rRNA from 1 species
ACAGCAGUCGCCACGGUAAUACGAAGGGGGCUAGCGUUGUUCGGAUUUACUGGGCGUAAAGGGCGCGUAGGCGGACUGAUAAGUCAGGGGUGAAAUCCCAAGGCUCAACCUUGGAACUGCCCUUGAUACUGUUUGUCUUGAGUUCGAGAGAGGUAAGUGGAACUGCGAGUGUAGAGGUGAAAUUCGUAGAUAUUCGCAAGAACACCAGUGGCGAAGGCGGCUUACUGGCUCGAAACUGACGCUGAGGCGCGAAAACGUGGGGAGCAAACAGGAUUAGAUACCCGAGUAGUCCCUGUCUCUUAUAC